AAUUACCAUUAGAUUCUACGACAUUUUCUCUGCAAGAUGUGUACUUCAGAGUUUUAAUUUUCGUUCAUUUAGAUGGCAAAAACGGUCCAAACAUGGGUGGUAAGGGGUUAAGGUAGAGGGGUUUUAGUUGGUAGGUCCUCAUAGGAGGGAAUCCAACACUACCCAGUCGUACGGACGUCUGGGUGUCUUUUGAAGAUUUCCCCUCUACCACGAAA
rfam:Agrilus planipennis Contig29820, whole genome shotgun sequence.